rnacentral:rRNA from 1 species
UACGGGGGGAGCAAGCGUUGUUCGGAUUUACUGGGCGUAAAGGGCGCGUAGGCGGCCUCUGCAAGUCGACUGUGAAAUCUCCGGGCUUAACCCGGAAAGGGCAGCCGAUACUGCAGGGCUAGAGUGCAGAAGGGGCAACUGGAAUUCUCGGUGUAGCGGUGAAAUGCGUAGAUAUCGAGAGGAACACCUGCGGCGAAGGCGGGUUGCUGGGCUGACACUGACGCUGAGGCGCGACAGCGUGGGGAGCAAACAGG